UACGUAGGGUGCAAGCGUUUGUCCGGAAUUAUUGGGCGUAAAGAGCUCGUAGGCGGUUUGUCGCGUCUGCUGUGAAAACCCGAGGCUCAACCUCGGGCCUGCAGUGGGUACGGGCAGACUAGAGUGCGGUAGGGGAGAAUGGAAUUCCUGGUGUAGCGGUGGAAUGCGCAGAUAUCAGGAGGAACACCGGUGGCGAAGGCGGUUCUCUGGGAAUAUCCUGACGCUGAGGAGCGAAAGUGUGGGGGAGCGAACAGG
rnacentral:rRNA from 1 species